UGAGCAAUCUGCCCUUCUCAUCGGAAUAAGCGUUGGAAACGACGUCUAAUGCCGAGUACGACCUCCUUUCACAUGAUCGGAGGUGGAAAGCUCCGGCGGAGAAGGAU
rnacentral:rRNA from 1 species